rnacentral:rRNA from 1 species
AACGAACGCUGGCGGCAGGCUUAACACAUGCAGGUCGAACGCCCCGCAAGGGGAGUGGCAGACGGGUGAGUAACGCGUGGGAAUCUACCCAACCCUACGGAAUAACGCAUGGAAACGUGUGCUAAUACCGUAUACGCCCUAUGGGGGAAAGAUUUAUCGGGGAUGGAUGAGCCCGCGUUGGAUUAGCUAGUUGGUGGGGUAAAGGCCUACCAAGGCGACGAUCCAUAGCUGGUCUGAGAGGAUGAUCAGCCACAUUGGGACUGAGACACGGCCCAAACUCCUACGGGAGGCAGCAGUGGGGAAUAUUGGACAAUGGGCGCAAGCCUGAUCCAGCCAUGCCGCGUGAGUGAUGAAGGCCCUAGGGUUGAAAAGCUCUUUCACCGGAGAAGAUAAUGACGGUAUCCGGAGAAGAAGCCCCGGCUAACUUCGUGCCAGCCGCCGCCGUAACAC